AUACGUAGGGGGCGAGCGUUGUCCGGAAUGAUUGGGCGUAAAGGGCGCGUAGGCGGCCGCUUAAGUCUGGAGUGAAAGUCCUGUUUUCAAGAUGGGAAUUGCUUUGGAUACUGGGGGGCUUGAGUGCAGGAGAGGUUAUCGGAAUUCCCGGUGUAGCGGUGAAAUGCGUAGAGAUCGGGAGGAACACCAGUGGCGAAGGCGGGUAACUGGACUGCAACUGACGCUGAGGCGCGAAAGUGUGGGGAGCAAACAGGAUUAAAUACCCUGGUAGUCCACACUGUAAACGAUGAAUGCUAGGUGUAAGAGGUAUCGACCCCUUUUGUGCCGGAGUCAACACAAUAAGCAUUCCGCCUGGGGAGUACGGCCGCAAGGUUGAAACUCAAAUGAAUUGACGGGG
rnacentral:rRNA from 1 species